GUUUUGUUUGCAAGUGUGACAUGUGUGGAGAAGAACCUCCUAACUAGCCUUUUAACCAUCUAUUUCACCAAAAUCGUUUUUACAAUCUGUGUUAGUUAAAGUUUCUGUUUUGAGUUAAAUUUUCGUCCAAAACAAAUCCCCCUUUCAUUUGAAGUCUUAGAUUAGUUAGAAAGUGUUUUGAUUUGUGUUUCUAAGUAUUUUGAUUCAAGUUUUCAUCAAACUUCGUCCAAAUUAGUGUAGGUGCUCAAAACUGCCCAGAAAGUGGUUU
rnacentral:lncRNA from 1 species